GCGAGUUCACCUCUUAUCCUGGAAGAAGAAAAACAACAAUCUUCCCAUACACAUAUCGAUGGGAUUCUCCGUGCUUUGACGGAUGGAAAGCAUAUGAGAAGAACCCCUUUCACCCAACUCAGAAUCCUGAUGGGACCAUCCAGAUGGGUCUUGCCGAGAAUUAGCUUUCCUUCGAUCUGGAAGAGUGUAUGAAGAACAAUCCUAAGGCGUCCAUUUGCACUUCAGAUGGGGCUGGCAAGUUCAAGGACGUUGCCAACGCCAAUUUCCAAUGAUAUUUUCCUGGAGACGCUUUCCUUGUUCCUUGCUUGUAUUAUCCAGCAUAAUGUGGACGAGAUCGGGACUGCAUCCGGUCUUUUACAUUUUCCAGAUGGCGGGGAAGUCGAAAACCCUGGCCAAGUAUAUUUUGUUGUGGAGGUUCUUUUUGGAAGUGGACGAGUGUUUCUGUGCUCAAACUGAUUCCCAGCAGUUUUGAUGGGUCCGUUAAGAUCACUCCUUUUACGUUGAUGUUGGCUUCUAUGACCUUGACGUAAUGCUGAUUUUUAUUUGUGGUAGGGUUACUUGGAAGUUGUUGGAGCUGUCAUAUUUAACCGGAGUUAUCUGUGCGCCGGUGAGCCAUCUUAUGUCCUUAUAAAUCUGAGAGAAAAGAAUUUGAGAACGAGAUACGCUUACAUGAGAAUAAAAUCAUAGGACAAGUAUAUGCAUAAACAUGCUUACAAAAGGAGAGACGUGUACAUGAGCUUUAUUUUUGGUCUGGUUCCCUCAAUGCUGCUAUAAUAAGCUCAUAAAGAUGCGGUAUCUCAAUUAUAUUUCUCUGCCUUAUGUUACUACUAAGUAUUGUUGGCAUCUAGAAUCACUUUGACCUAAAGUUCAUAAGUCAAAAUGACCGAUAUUUCCAGAUUCAGGAUAUUGAUUACUCUUAGUUCAAAUGACUUGACAGGGACAUAAGAUGGCUUACCGGCAUACAGAUAAUUCCGAUUAACUGUGACAGCUCCAACAACUUCCAAGUAACCCUGCCACAAAUAAAAAUCAGCAUUACACCAAGGCCAUAGAAGCCAACAUCAACGUAAAGGAGUGAUCUUAACGAACCCAUCAAACCUGCUGGGAAUCACUUUCAGCAGAGAAACACUCACCAGUCUAUUGAGCUUCACUUCCGAGAAGAACCUCCACGACAAAAUAUACUUGGCCAGGGUUUUCGACUUCCCCGCCACCUUGGAAAUAAUUCAAGAGAGUGCAAUCUUGAUCUCGUCCACAUUCUCUACAGUUUGUCCAAGCACAUAAGGUUUCCUGGCUUUCGCGUCUGCAUGAUCUGUCCCUACUAUGAUCAAGCAGCCAAUUGCACGAGGGAAAUGUCUAGUUUCGGAUUGGUCUCUUUGCAGACACAGCAUUUACUUACUUCCAUGCUCUCUGAUGAGAGCUUUGUAGAGAAUUUCCAAGAAGAGAGGAGGAGACUGGCCAAGAGGCAGAGUCUCUUUGUCAAAGGAUUCGAGCAAGACGUGGAAGACAAGGCUGGUCUUUUCGUGUGGAUGGAUUUGCAUCGCUUCAUGAAAGAAUUGAGGGCUCCACGCCGAAAUGAAGCUGUGGAGGGUGAUUAUACCGGAUGCGAAGGUCAAUGCAUCACAUGGGUCCUCUUUCCAUUGCCAGAAGCCCGGGAUUUUCGGGGUUUGCUUUGCUGAUAUGGAUGAUCACAGUGUAAGAGGCGCUUAUAAUUAUUAGAGAGUUUGUGACUAAGGGCAAUGACAUAGGUGAUGACGAGACAUUGUCGAAGAAGAAACAUCGGCAAAACACGAGUCUUAUGCUGGGUCUUACGUCCGAGAUAUGUGAUGAGAGCUUGAUGUCUUCUCAUCAUAGAAUGUCCCCUCAAUUAUCAGUGCCUCCUCAUUCACCAAUGGCUCGAGCGAGGACUUGAAGUGGCCAUAUUGGCUUUUUGCUGUUGUAUGGUGGAGUGUUCUCAACAGUUACGUAUCCCAUUUUACUAGGAUUAAAUCAUGACCAACCAUUUCUUUCCCCCAUUUGCUCGGAUGCUGUGUCAGCGCUUUCGUGGAACCUAAAAGCAUUUCAUUCCUAGAAACAGAUUUGUCUGUCCGAUUGUCAUAGUCCCAAAGGCAAGAGUCCCUACGAUAGAUCAUCUGAUGUACUACCAUUUUAUCGAUCAACUUAUCUAUUUUAUUUGGAAGUUCUUUUGUAGUCCUAGUAUUAUCAUUUUUUACAGUAUUGAAAUGUGAGAUGCAAAAGAUGCUUUCUCAUUUGGAAA